ACUGAACGCUGGCGGCAUGCCUUACACAUGCAAGUCGAACGGCAGCACGGGCGCUUGCACCUGGUGGCGAGUGGCGAACGGGUGAGUAAUACAUCGGAACGUACCUUAUCGUGGGGGAUAACGCAGCGAAAGUUGCGCUAAUACCGCAUACGCCCUGAGGGGGAAAGCGGGGGACCGUAAGGCCUCGCGCGAUUAGAGCGGCGGAUGUCUGAUUAGCUUGUUGGUGAGGUAAAAGCUCACCAAGGCGAUGAUAAGUAGCUGGUCUGAGAGGACGAUCAGCCACACUGGGACUGAGACACGGCCCAGACUCCUACGGGAGGCAGCAGUGGGGAAUUUUGGACAAUGGGGGCAACCCUGAUCCAGCAAUGCCGCGUGAGUGAAGAAGGCCUUCGGGUUGUAAAGCUCUUUUGUCAGGGAAGAAACAGCAGCUCUAACACAGUCUGCGAAUGACGGUACCUGAAGAAUAAGCACCGGCUAACUACGUGCCAGCCGCCGCAGUAA
rnacentral:rRNA from 1 species